rnacentral:lncRNA from 1 species
UCCAGCCAAAGGGAGCUUGCUUUGGGAGUGCCAAAAUUGCAUCAUCCAAGUACUAGUUUAUUGUGUGAGUUCCUUAAGUUCACUUUGUUGUGUUUUAUUUCAGCGAGCUCUUGCUAAAACUGGAGCAGAGUCGAUCAGUUUGCUUGAGCUAUGUCGAAACACAAACCGAAAGCAGGCAGCAGCAAAGUUCUACAGCUUUUUGGUUCUUAAAAAGCAGCAAGCCAUCGAGCUCACACAGGAAGAGCCGUACAGUGACAUCAUUGCAACACCUGGACCAAGGUUCCACAUCAUCUGAGGAGCUAGACGCUUUAGAGCUAGUGUUAACUCACUAGGACGUACAAAUUGCCCCAUGUGUAGGGCACCAGAACCCUUUAAGGAAGUUUUUAGAUUUUUGUUUGUACAAAAUCUUUGCCUUUUCUUUCUUCAUUUUUUUCCCCCAGUGUUUCUAAUUUUGUCGACCAUCUUUUAAGGGAAACUGCUUAUUUGGGUUGGGUUUGUAUUCCUGGAGAAGACAGUACCCCCAAGAACCCAGAAGACUUUUAACAGUUCAGAGCAGAUGUGUGCAAUAUUGGUGCAUGUAAGAAUAUGGAGUAACAGUCAAAAGUCCCCAUUUUUAUGUUAGUUUUCCAUUACUUUGUUUAAAAGAAAAACCUGCCUAGGAAAAUGCCUGACACUUUAAGAACUGUGGUUUGAGUCCCUUGACAGGAAGAGAAAAAUGUCUUCCCAUCAGUGAAACCAACAGUCUGGUUAACCACUGUACCUGGGGAUAGUAUGUGAGGCAUCGUGCUUGUCUUCUUGAUCAUGUUUUAAAGUAAGUCAGUUCAUAAUGAGCAAGAACUUGUGAGUUUGUGCUGACUGAUCCUCUUCGACUAUUAUGUUCUGAAAUCAUUCCGUGACUCUUAGGAACUCUGACGCUAGUGCAGCUCAGAAUGACAGACUUCUGCAGUGGCGGGACUCCUCAAGGGCUGCAGAUCGCUUUCUCAAAGGUGUCUGGAUGUUUGCUUGAGUAAUGAGAUCAUGAAAAUAGAAAUUCCCCUGCCUGCUGAAGGGCAAACCAAUGAGAAACUACCCCAGAUUGACUUCCUUUAAGCAAACAGUGCUGUAAAAACUAAUGGCUUCUCUGAUAUUUAUUAUAAAUGUUAGUACUGAGCUUCCAAUGCUGCACACUCCUGUGUUUGAAACUAUUUUAAUAACUUUGCAACUGUAAUCCUGUAUCAGUUUCCUAUAAUUUAAAUGGAAAAAAACAUCCUAAUAAAGGCUUUAUUAUUAACAGACCAGAUAGUACCAGAAAUUAUGUGACUAUAUAAAUAUCAAAACGUGUUCACUUUGUAGGACAAAAUUAUGUUGAAAGUUCUAGCUUAAGUGUUGGCACUUUUAUGGGGGGGAAAUCAGUUUUAAAACUAAGACUUCCAUGUAUACCCAGUAAUUUAAAAUUAUGUGAAAUAUUUUAAAUUUGUGAACUCGUAAUUACUAUUUUAAUGAUUGAGCUUCUCGAGAAUGGUAAGUGUAUAGAUGCUCUUGCGGUUUCUUUUCAGUAAGACGUGCCUGGAAACCAUGGAUCCCCUUUGUAAAAAGACACUGUAGAUAAUUGAAUGUUGAUUAUAGAAAGGCCAUUAGUUUCUUGUUACACAUUUUGUUAGUCCAGUUUUUGUCGCUUAUUGGGUUUAAUAUUGUUCUUGAAAAUAGUCAAUGCUAUGUUAUGUAUAACUUUUCUAAUAAAAGUUGUGUUUCAAGCUGUA